rnacentral:tRNA from 1 species
UCCUGUCUAGCUCAGUUGGUAGAGCGCGUCGCUAGUAAUGACGAGGUCAGUCGUUCAAGUCGGCUAAUGGGAA